rnacentral:tRNA from 1 species
AUUUACGUAGUUUAAAAUAAAACAAAUUAUUUUCAAUAAUUAAAAAAUUUAAAAAAUUUGUAAAUU